UGAAAAGCUUGCUUCUCUGAUGUUAGCGGCGGACGGGUGAGUAACACGUGGGUAACCUACCUAUAAGACUGGGAUAACUCCGGGAAACCGGGGCUAAUACCGGAUAAUAUUUUGAACCGCAUGGUUCAAUAGUGAAAGACGGUUUCGGCUGUCACUUAUACAUGGACCCGCGCCGUAUUAGCUAGUUGGUAAGGUAACGGCUUACCAAGGCGACGAUACGUAUCCGACCUGAGAGGGUGAUCGGCCACACUGGAACUGAGACACGGUCCAGACUCCUACGGGAGGCAGCAGUAGGGAAUCUUCCGCAAUGGGCGAAAGCCUGACGGAGCAACGCCGCGUGAGUGAUGAAGGUCUUCGGAUCGUAAAACUCUGUUGUUAGGGAAGAACAAAUUUGUUAGUAACUGAACAAGUCUUGACGGUACCUAACCAGAAAGCCACGGCUAACUACGUGCCAGCAGCCGCGGUAAUACGUAGGUGGCAAGCGUUAUCCGGAAUUAUUGGGCGUAAAGCGCGCGUAGGCGGUUUCUUAAGUCUGAUGUGAAAGCCCACGGCUCAACCGUGGAGGGUCAUUGGAAACUGGGAAACUUGAGUGCAGAAGAGGAGAGUGGAAUUCCAUGUGUAGCGGUGAAAUGCGCAGAGAUAUGGAGGAACACCAGUGGCGAAGGCGGCUCUCUGGUCUGUAACUGACGCUGAUGUGCGUAAAGCGUGGGGGAUCAAACAGGAUUAGAUACCCUGG
rnacentral:rRNA from 1 species